AGGAAAUGUAGUAAACUGGAUCUGUUUCUCAUCUUGCCAUCAUUCAGAUUUGGUCUAACCAUGUAUUUUCUGUGAACUUCAAAUGAAACCAAUGUUUAGAAUAACUCCGUAUGAUACAUAGAACAAAGUAAGAUCUCAGCCCAGCAGUUUUGUUCUGAGGCUCUUUUAAAUUUGCCUUCGAAGAGAAGCUUCGUUCUCCGCGCUCAAAAUAGAGACCCGUCCCCAGCCGCACCCACCCAC
rnacentral:lncRNA from 1 species